UACGGAGGAUGCAAGCGUUAUCCGGAUUUAUUGGGCGUAAAGCGUCCGCAGGUGGUUAUGCAAGUCUGCUGUCAAAGCGCGAGGCUUAACUUCGUAAAGGCAGUGGAAACUGUGUGACUAGAGGAUGGUAGGGGUCGCGGGAAUUCCCAGUGUAGCGGUGAAAUGCGUAGAGAUGUGGAGGAACACCGAUGGCGAAGGCAGCCCCCUGGGCUGAGAUUGACGCUCAGGCACGAAAGCGUGGGGAGCAAACAGG
rnacentral:rRNA from 1 species